rnacentral:rRNA from 1 species
CUGGUUGAUYCUGCCAGUAAUUAUAUGCUUGUCUUAAAGAUUAAGCCAUGCAAGUCUAAGUACGGCCCUUCCAUUGUGGGGGCGAGACUGCGGACGGCUCAUUAAAUCAGUUAUGAUUCCCAGGAAGCUGGGCAUUCUACUUGGAUAACUGUGGCAAUUCUAGAGCUAAUACAUGCACGAAACAGCUUCGCAAUCCUCCCUCUGGUAGGGAGGAGAGGAGCGCACUUGUUAGCCCGAAACCAACGUAAUUUUGGUGAACUCUGGACAACUUUGCCGAUCGCAGGGCCUUUGUGCCGGCGACAUAUCUUUCAAGUGUCUGACCUAUCAUACUGGAUGGUUUGCGCUCUGCGCACCAUGGUUACAACGGGUGACGGGGAAUCAGGGUUCGAUUCCGGAGAGGGAGCAUGAGAAACGGCUGCCACAUCCAAGGAAGGCAGCAGGCACGCAACUUACCCAAUGCCGACACGGCGAGGUAGUGACGAAAAAAUACCAAUACGGGAGUCUCUACACGAGGUCCCGCAAUUGAAAUGAGUACACUCUAAAUCCUUUAACGAGGAUCUAUUGGAGGGCAAGUCUGGUGCCAGCAGCCGCGGUAAUUCCAGCUCCAAUAGCGUAUGUCAAAGCUGCUGCGGUUAAAAAAGCUCGUAGUUGGAUCUCAGAGUGGGGCUGGCGGUGCGCUGUAGCGGCGAUCUACUGCCAUACCCCAUGCAACUUGACGGCAGAACAGACUCGGGGUGCUCUUGACUGAGUGUGUCGGGUGGCCGGAACGUUUACUGUGAAAAAAUUAGGGUGCUCAAAGCAGGCCUUCGUGCCCGAAUACUGGUGCAUGGAAUAAUAGAGUAGGACCUCGGCUCCAGUCUUGUUGGUUUACGGAGCGCGWGGUAAUGAUUAAGAGGGACGGCCGGGGGCAUACGUACUGCGUCGUGAGAGGUGAAAUUCUGUGACCGUCGCAGGACGAACGAAAGCGAAAGCAUUUGCCAAGAAUGUUUUCCUUAAUCAAGAACGAAAGUCAGAGGUUCGAAGACGAUCAGAUACCGUCGUAGUUCUGACCGCAAACUAUGCCAACCGACACUCCGCCGGAGUUGCUUAAUUGACCCGGCGAGGAGUCCCCGGGAAACCAAAGUUUCUGGGUUCCGGGGGGAGUACGGUUGCAAAGCUGAAACUUAAAGGAAUUGACGGAAGGGCACCACCAGGAGUGGAGCCUGUGGCUUAAUUUGACUCAACACGGGAAACCUCACCCGGUCCGGACACUGGAAGGAUUGACAGACUAAAGCUCUUUCUUGAUUCAGUGGGUGGUGGUGCAUGGCCGUUCUUAGUUGGUGGAGUGAUUUGUCUGGUUAAUUCCGAUAACGAACGAGACUCUCGCCUGCUAAAUAGUUUUCCAUACGUUACCUUAUGGAACCUAAACUUCUUAGAGGUACAAGUGGCGUUUAGCCACACGAAACAGAGCAAUAACAGGUCUGUGAUGCCCUUAGAUGUCCGGGGCCGCACAUGUGCUACAAUGAAUGCAUCAACGUGUAUCAGCCUCGCCCGAAAGGGUUGGGGAAUCCGCUGAACGGCAUUCUCAGUAGGGAUUGGGGAUUGCAAUUAUUUCCCAUGAACACGGAAUUCCCAGUAGGCGCCAGUCAUCAGCUGGCGUCGAUUGAGUCCCUGCCCUUUGUACACACCGCCCGUCGCUACUACCGAUCGCUCUUGUUAAUGAGCUUGUCGGAUUGGACCCGGUGAGCAGUCGUUGCGCUUCAUCUCCUCGCGGGGUGGGCCUUCGUCUGCGAGCUUUGGUGUAUGCCGAGAAGAUCGGCAAAUUAUCUGGAGUAGAGGAAGUAAAAGUCGUAACAAGGUGUCYGUAGGUGAACCUGCRGAAGGAUCAUUA